AUGGCGGCGGCGGCGGCGGCGGUGCGCUGUGCUGAGCAGCUGGUUGAGAGGGAGAUGAGCGGGCGCGACGCCUCCCACGACGCCGCCCACGCGCUCCGCGUCCGGGACCUCGCGCUCUCCCUCGCCGCCGAGCAGGGCGUCUCCUCCCCCGACCGCCUCCUCAUCGUGGAACUGGCUGCUCUCCUGCACGACAUCGGUGAUUACAAGUACACCAAGGAUAAUGUGGAGGAUAUGAGCAUCGUCAAAAGGUUUCUUGAAGAGGUGGGGUUGGAGGAGGGGCAGAGGGAGGAAAUAGUGGCCAUUAUUACAGGGAUGGGAUUCAAAAACGAGGUUUCAAAUAAGCUUAAUGCGGAGCCCACUCUUGAGUUUGCAAUCGUGCAAGAUGCAGAUCGUCUGGAUGCAAUUGGUGCGAUUGGUGUUGCAAGAUGUUUUACAUAUGGAGGGAGCAAGAACAGUGCAUUGCAUGAUCCUAACGUACUUCCACGGGAUAAUUUGUCAAAGGAGAAGUAUAUGUCCAAGGAGGAGAAGCAAACAUCAAUUAAUCAUUUCCAUGAGAAACUUUUUAAGUUGAAGGACAUGAUGAAGACCGAGGCUGGGAAAAAGAGAGCAGAGAAAAGGCACAAGUUCAUGGAGAAUUUUGUGGCUGAAUUCUAUGAAGAGUGGAGUGGCAGGGCUUGA
rnacentral:rRNA from 1 species